ACUCGUAUAGCUCAGAGGCAGAGCAUUCAACUUAUAAUUGAGGGGUCGGUGGUUCGAACCCACCUACGAGUA
rfam:Lactobacillus plantarum bacteriophage LP65, complete genome.